UGUGUGUGUGAGUGAUGCUGUGGGAUUGUCUCCAGUCAGUAGGUGUGAGUGAUGCGUCAGUAGGUGUGAGUGAUGCUGUGGGAUCGUCUCCGGUCAGUAGGUGUGAGUGAUGCUGUGGGAUCGUCUCCGGUCAAGUAGGUGUGAGUGAUGCUGUGGGAUCGGCUCCGGUCAAGUAGGUGUGAGUGAUGCUGUGGGAUCGUCUCCGGUCAAGUAGGUGUGAGUGAUGCUGUGGGAUCGUCUCCGGUCAAGUAGGUGUGAGUGAUGCUGUGGGAUCGUCUCCGGUCAAGUAGGUGUGAGUGAUGCUGUGGGAUCGUCUCCGGUCAAGUAGGUGUGAGUGAUGCUGUGGGAUCGUCUCCGG
ensembl:lncRNA